rnacentral:rRNA from 1 species
UAUGGUAUGUGCCAGCAGCCGCGGUAAUACGGAAGGUCCGGGCGUUAUCCGGAUUUAUUGGGUUUAAAGGGAGCGUAGGCCGGAGAUUAAGCGUGUUGUGAAAUGUAGACGCUCAACGUCUGCACUGCAGCGCGAACUGGUUUCCUUGAGUACGCACAAAGUGGGCGGAAUUCGUGGUGUAGCGGUGAAAUGCUUAGAUAUCACGAAGAACUCCGAUUGCGAAGGCAGCUCACUGGAGCGCAACUGACGCUGAAGCUCGAAAGUGCGGGUAUCGAACAGG